AAUGAACGCUGGCGGCAUGCCUAACACAUGCAAGUCGAACGAAGCCUUCGGGCUUAGUGGCGCACGGGUGCGUAACGCGUGGGAAUCUGCCUUGGGGUUCGGAAUAACUCCCCGAAAGGGGUGCUAAUACCGGAUGAUGUCGAAAGACCAAAGAUUUAUCGCCCUGAGAUGAGCCCGCGUAAGAUUAGCUAGUUGGUGGG
rnacentral:rRNA from 1 species